rnacentral:lncRNA from 1 species
CUUUAAUGCAAUUUUAUUUUGUAACACUGUAACUAUAAUAAAGCCGUGUAUUCUCACCAAGUGAGGCAAUUCUCAAGGUGUGUAUUCAAAAGAAUAUUCAUUAAAAUACAAAGUCACAUGUCUACUACUGUGUUGGUUGCUGGUGCUAAUUUUUCUGACUUCCAUUGUUUAUAAGUAGGUGUUGCUAGAUGAAGGCAAAUAUCUUUAAGUAACUUAUCUCUUUUCAGAUGUUUUUGGAUUGGAACUCUAAGAAAUAUUUCAGGACCAUACUAAAAGGCUCUACCCAUGGACUGUGGUGGAUGUAUCAGAUUGAAACCCAAGGGCAUGGCCACAUCAUUAUGACAAUAGUUUAAGCUGUUAAGAAACUCAAGGACCAACAAGUGAGAAUGUAAUUCUCCAUCAAGAUUGCCAGCUGUUUUUAAGUGUUUGGAGACCAAGAUGAAGACCACAAGAAUCAGUGGCAGAUUGUCAAAGCGAUGAUGCAGAAGCCUACCAUUACCAUUACAAGCCACAAGAGGUUUCUGUGCUUUCUAUCACACCACCAACGCUCUGUCUGGCAGAAGCUGGGACCACGGCUGCUGUCUUUCUUCCACACCGAAGAGCUGUGCUGUGCAAAGUAUUGCUUCAUGCUGCUUCCCUGAUCUGCUUUGCAUAACUGCCUGGAAGAAAGUACUUUUAUGGAUAAUCCAAAAGAGGGAAAUAUAUUGAACUUUGUUUGCUUUAGCAUAUUUUAUGGGUUAAAUCCAUUUAAAAUACUAUUACAGUGAAAUUCUACAUAGAGAAAGCAUUUCUCAUGUUUUAACCAAUGGUCAACUAGUUUUAGAGCAUAUCUGAUACAUUGUAAUUAGAAAAGAACCCAAUAAUUAGGAUUGUUUCUUAAAAACAUGGGAUUUUAGUGUUCUGUAGGAGUUCCUGAUUCAGUUUAAGGCAGAGGUCUUAGAGGUAAUAUAGUCCAGGGAUACAAAAUAGAUUCAUCUUAUGUGCCAAAUUUGAUCAGUUGGUGGUGGUUGCCUGGAGU